CCCGACUGCAAUCGCACCGAGUAUUUUCUCAGUGCAAUUAUCAAUUACCAUCUUUAUAGAUAUUGAGGAGCGGCACGAAUUGUUGCAGGGCUAGGUUUCCCAGGAGAAGAGAUUUGUAGAUGCAAAAUGAGUUCAACGUAAUGGUGGUCAGAAGUUGGAGCUGCACGAUUUUGUACGAUGG